GGGUUGUGAGGUUAAGCGACUAAGCGUACACGGUGGAUGCCCUGGCAGUCAGAGGCGAUGAAGGGCGUGCUAAUCUGCGAUAAGCGCCGGUAAGGUGAUAUGAACCGUUAUAACCGGCGAUACCCGAAUGGGGAAACCCAGUGUGAUUCGUCACACUAUCAUUAACUGAAUCCAUAGGUUAAUGAGGCGAACCGGGGGAACUGAAACAUCUAAGUACCCCGAGGAAAAGAAAUCAACCGAGAUUCCCCCAGUAGCGGCGAGCGAACGGGGAGGAGCCCAGAGCCUGAAUCAGCAUGUGUGUUAGUGGAAGCGUCUGGAAAGGCGCGCGAUACAGGGUGACAGCCCCGUACACAAAAGCGCAUGUGCUGUGAGCUCGAUGAGUAGGGCGGGACACGUGGUAUCCUGUCUGAAUAUGGGGGGACCAUCCUCCAAGGCUAAAUACUCCUGACUGACCGAUAGUGAACCAGUACCGUGAGGGAAAGGCGAAAAGAACCCCGGCGAGGGGAGUGAAAAAGAACCUGAAACCGUGUACGUACAAGCAGUGGGAGCNNNNNNNNNNNNNNNNNNNNNNNNNNNNNNNNGGGCGUUAAGUUGCAGGGUAUAGACCCGAAACCCGGUGAUCUAGCCAUGGGCAGGUUGAAGGUUGGGUAACACUAACUGGAGGACCGAACCGACUAAUGUUGAAAAAUUAGCGGAUGACCUGUGGCUGGGGGUGAAAGGCCAAUCAAACCGGGAGAUAGCUGGUUCUCCCCGAAAGCUAUUUAGGUAGCGCCUCGUGAAUUCAUCUCCGGGGGUAGAGCACUGUUUCGGCUAGGGGGCCAUCCCGGCUUACCAACCCGAUGCAAACUGCGAAUACCGGAGAAUGUUAUCACGGGAGACACACGGCGGGUGCUAACGUCCGUCGUGAAGAGGGAAACAACCCAGACCGCCAGCUAAGGUCCCAAAGUCAUGGUUAAGUGGGAAACGAUGUGGGAAGGCCCAGACAGCCAGGAUGUUGGCUUAGAAGCAGCCAUCAUUUAAAGAAAGCGUAAUAGCUCACUGGUCGAGUCGGCCUGCGCGGAAGAUGUAACGGGGCUAAACCAUGCACCGAAGCUGCGGCAGCGACACUGUGUGUUGUUGGGUAGGGGAGCGUUCUGUAAGCCUGCGAAGGUGGCCUGUGAGGGUUGCUGGAGGUAUCAGAAGUGCGAAUGCUGACAUAAGUAACGAUAAAGCGGGUGAAAAGCCCGCUCGCCGGAAGACCAAGGGUUCCUGUCCAACGUUAAUCGGGGCAGGGUGAGUCGACCCCUAAGGCGAGGCCGAAAGGCGUAGUCGAUGGGAAACGGGUUAAUAUUCCCGUACUUGGUGUUACUGCGAAGGGGGGACGGAGAAGGCUAUGUUGGCCGGGCGACGGUUGUCCCGGUUUAAGCGUGUAGGUGUGUGUUCCAGGUAAAUCCGGUUCACUUUAACACUGAGGCGUGACGACGAGGCACUACGGUGCUGAAGCAACAAAUGCCCUGCUUCCAGGAAAAGCCUCUAAGCAUCAGGUAACAUCAAAUCGUACCCCAAACCGACACAGGUGGUCAGGUAGAGAAUACCAAGGCGCUUGAGAGAACUCGGGUGAAGGAACUAGGCAAAAUGGUGCCGUAACUUCGGGAGAAGGCACGCUGACACGUAGGUGAAGUGAUUUACUCAUGGAGCUGAAGUCAGUCGAAGAUACCAGCUGGCUGCAACUGUUUAUUAAAAACACAGCACUGUGCAAACACGAAAGUGGACGUAUACGGUGUGACGCCUGCCCGGUGCCGGAAGGUUAAUUGAUGGGGUCAGCGCAAGCGAAGCUCCUGAUCGAAGCCCCGGUAAACGGCGGCCGUAACUAUAACGGUCCUAAGGUAGCGAAAUUCCUUGUCGGGUAAGUUCCGACCUGCACGAAUGGCGUAAUGAUGGCCAGGCUGUCUCCACCCGAGACUCAGUGAAAUUGAACUCGCUGUGAAGAUGCAGUGUACCCGCGGCAAGACGGAAAGACCCCGUGAACCUUUACUAUAGCUUGACACUGAACAUUGAGCCUUGAUGUGUAGGAUAGGUGGGAGGCUUUGAAGUGUGGACGCCAGUCUGCAUGGAGCCGACCUUGAAAUACCACCCUUUAAUGUUUGAUGUUCUAACGUGGACCCGUUACCCGGGUUGCGGACAGUGUCUGGUGGGUAGUUUGACUGGGGCGGUCUCCUCCUAAAGAGUAACGGAGGAGCACGAAGGUUGGCUAAUCCUGGUCGGACAUCAGGAGGUUAGUGCAAUGGCAUAAGCCAGCUUGACUGCGAGCGUGACGGCGCGAGCAGGUGCGAAAGCAGGUCAUAGUGAUCCGGUGGUUCUGAAUGGAAGGGCCAUCGCUCAACGGAUAAAAGGUACUCCGGGGAUAACAGGCUGAUACCGCCCAAGAGUUCAUAUCGACGGCGGUGUUUGGCACCUCGAUGUCGGCUCAUCACAUCCUGGGGCUGAAGUAGGUCCCAAGGGUAUGGCUGUUCGCCAUUUAAAGUGGUACGCGAGCUGGGUUUAGAACGUCGUGAGACAGUUCGGUCCCUAUCUGCCGUGGGCGCUGGAGAACUGAGGGGGGCUGCUCCUAGUACGAGAGGACCGGAGUGGACGCAUCACUGGUGUUCGGGUUGUCAUGCCAAUGGCACUGCCCGGUAGCUAAAUGCGGAAGAGAUAAGUGCUGAAAGCAUCUAAGCACGAAACUUGCCCCGAGAUGAGUUCUCCCUGAGACUUAGAGUCUCCUGAAGGAACGUUGAAGACGACGACGUUGAUAGGCCGGGUGUGUAAGCGCAGCGAUGCGUUGAGCUAACCGGUACUAAUGAACCGUGAGGCUUAACCUUACAACGCCGAAG
rnacentral:rRNA from 1 species